rnacentral:rRNA from 1 species
CAGAGGUCCCAAGCGUUGUUCGGAUUCACUGGGCGUAAAGGGUGCGUAGGUGGCUACUUUAAGUUUGAUGUGAAAGCUCCGGGCUUAACCCGGAAAUGGCAUUGAAGACUAUUGAGCUAGAGGUUUGGAGGGGGGACUGGAAUGCUUGGUGUAGCAGUGAAAUGCGUAGAUAUCAAGCGGAACACCGGUGGCGAAGGCGAGUCCCUGGACAACACCUGACACUGAGGCACGAAAGCUAGGGGAGCAAACAGGAUUAGAUACCCUGGUAGUCCUAGCUGUAAACGGUGCACGUUUGCUGUAAGAGGAAUCGACCCCUUUUGUGGCGAAGCUAACGCGAUAAACGUGCCGCCUGGGAAGUACGGUCGCAAGAUUA